rnacentral:tRNA from 1 species
AAGGAAAUAAUUUAAUUUAAAAUAUAGGACUUCAAAUCUUAAAAUACGUCAAUUCGUUUUUCUUG